rnacentral:rRNA from 1 species
AUGCUUGUAUCCCUGCGCCCUCGCCUGCCCGCCGUCUCUUUCCUGCCUCAGGUGCUGGGCUGCCAUCUCUCUACUCAGAUUGCACAACGGCCUUCUGACAGAGCUAGACCUAUAACUGAUUACAAUGAGGUCACGCUGCAUUUCAUUAAGUGUGUACGGAUGCAUAUACAGAACACCAAAUCAAAGGUUGGCAGUCCCGCACACACCAAUUCUUCUGUAGGAACCCCAUUUUCCAAUAGCAUGAGCGAAGCAGCCACUCCAACCUUUGUGAAAUCCAACUCAAUAAGCUGCGCCGAGGUUGUCAGUGUCGCUCAAGGGAGACGCUGUUUUUGGCUGACACGACAUUGA